UACGGAGGGGGCUAGCGUUGUUCGGAAUUACUGGGCGUAAAGGGUGCGUAGGCGGGUUUUUAAGUCAGGGGUGAAAUCCCGAGGCUCAACCUCGGAACUGCCUUUGAUACUGGAAAUCUUGAGUCUGGGAGAGGUGAGUGGAACUGCGAGUGUAGAGGUGAAAUUCGUAGAUAUUGGGAAGAACACCGGUGGCGAAGGCGGCUCACUGGCUCGUAACUGACGCUCAUGCACGACAGCGUGGGGAUCAAACAGG
rnacentral:rRNA from 1 species